AAAUGCAUUUUAAUUCCCUUUUAAUUUGAUUUUUAACUCAUUGAUUGUUUAAAAACUAUGUUGAGCCAUUUUUAUGGUCUUAUGAUGUUUGACUUUCUGUUUGGCGCUUGGUCAUGGUUGAUUUUACUUUUGUUUGAUCAAUACCAUUGGAUUUAGGGAUUGAUGAAAUGUAUAUUUCAUCUCCCAAAAUGAAUGGAUGGUAUUGAUCAUAUGAAAUUCCUCUCAUGAUCAAUUUGUGUUUCUA
rnacentral:lncRNA from 1 species